AUGCACUCCAGCUGGUUUUGAUCCACACGAGACACCAGCGUGUAUGCGCACUCGCGUGUUUAUAUAUCUGCAUAUUACAGAAAAUGCGCUUGGUAAGCAGGAGACCUCCAUUUCAUCUUCCUUUUACUGAACGGCAAUCUCCUGGAGAGGAAGAUCCAUGAAAUGUCAGGGAAGAUUAUAACUCCGGGCGGUCCAAAGAGAUGAGGGUCAUGAAAAAACAAAGACCAGUAAGAGAUCUCCUGAUGGUUCCAUAGUGAGGAGGAGAACCACUGCUAUUGCAACGUACAGGAGUCCUUUCAAGAAGAAGAGGAUGUCAGCAGGGUCAUUUUAAACCCUGGAGUGGGUAAAGGUGAAGGUUCUUUGAGCUAUGAAAGCACAAUGAGUGAAUGGAGAGACGGUUGAGUAGGAUAAGAUAAAAAUGUUACAAUCUCCAUUGAAGACAACAGGCAAAGGUCCUGGAAUUGGAGUCACGAGACUUGGCUCUCCAGCCAGGGCUUUGUCACUGGUGAGCUGGGAGGCUGAGGCAGGUUACUGCCCCACUGGGUGUCACUGCAAAACAAGGGGCUUGAGCAAAACAAAUCUCUG
ensembl:lncRNA